rnacentral:rRNA from 1 species
CAGUCGUACUGACGGGUAAUCAACCUUUUGGGCGCGAUUAUGUGGAGUGUGUUGGAGCCUUAACAGUCCUCAUGCCUGCAUAUUUGUUUCCUUGGGUGUACUCGCCCGCGUGGUUGGUUAACAUCAAUUUCGAACGUUCAUAAAAUAACGGGAGGAAUGUAGCUUUGGUCUCGUACUGAAGUGUUAUAGACUCUGUAGAUGUGACGACCGGGAUUGAGGAUUG